rnacentral:rRNA from 1 species
UGCGCAGGCGGCCAAGUGUGUGAGGCGUGAAAGCCUGGAGCUCAACUCCAGAAUUGCACCUCAAACUACAUGGCUAGAGCAUUGGAGAGGGUAGCAGAAUUCACGGUGUAGCAGUGAAAUGCGUAGAUAUCGUGAGGAAUACCAGGGGCGAAGGCGGCUACCUGGACAAUUGCUGACGCUCAGGCACGAAAGCGUGGGGAGCAAAAGGGAUUAGAUACCCCUGUAGUCCACGCCCUAAACGGUGCACACUAGGUCUUGGAGGAUUCGACCCCUUCAGGGCCCAAGCUAACGCGUUAAGUGUGCCGCCUGAGGACUACGGCCGCAAGGCUAAA